UGAGAAUUACUUUCGGAACUUUACUCAUGACUAUUAAGCCCAACAAAUAAGAACUGUAUGGGUUUUAAAUUGUACAUUUCCGUGGACCACUCUACUAUAAGCAGUGCGCGUUUUGCGAGGUGCAUGCAAUUCUCGGAGGACAUGCGUUUCUCGGCACAACACCGCUAACAACAACAACAACGAUCGCAAAAUGAACAACGAACAAGCGAAAACCACCGAAAAUGAAGAUUUGUUGCCAAAAAGAAAAGGAAAGUCAGUUAUCUGGAAUUAUUUCGGUUAAAAGAAGGAUGAUGUCGACCAAAACACGUCUUCUGUGUUCAUCUGUUGCCACAAUAACGUCCCAGCACAAUAAAAGCUAAAAAUAUCUCUGAGACAGACAGAAGCCGUUCUACUAACAUUCACAAAAAGAGGUAAGAUCAGAGCAGAUUAACUGCCCUCAAGAUUUCAGCAGUGCAGCAUAACAUUAAGUGCUAUUCAGGUCAUCUGGUGAAAAUACUGUAUUUUUAAUAUCGCAAUAUAUAUCGCAGGGUUGAAAAAAUCGCAAUAUUAUUUUUUUCCAAUAUCGUGCAGCCUUACGCCAUAUGAUAAAAAAUGGCCACUGUUCUGGCAUUUUGUUUGCAUUUGUAUACAAUUCAGAGUUUAAAAAUAAAAGGAGAAUGAACAAAUGCGACAGUUUGGUUAUUUUUCAGCCAUUAAUUGAAUUUACAGGGAGAAAAAACAUACUGUGAUACAUAACGUUACUGUGAUGUGAAGUUACUCACACCGUUACAUAAGAUUUUUUUCAUACUGUCCAACGCUAGGUGGAAAUGUUGUCAUCUGCCUUGGUUCAUCACUGCAGCCAGGCCAAGUCAACAGACUGGUGCUCCCAGCCAAAAACCGAAGUUUGCAGGAGGUGAGUUUCAGGCUGGUAGGCUGAGAGAGUAUAGCACUAUAGUGUUUCAGAAAUUCAGUUUCUCUGGAAGUGAUGUGUCUUUUAGUGCCAAGGAUUCAGCGCCUGUAUCGAAUAAUCCCAGAAAUUUUCAGUGAAGCAUGUAUCAAUCAAAAAAUAUCAAGAAAGGGUUUGCAGGUUUGGCGAAUGAUUUGUAAUAUAAAGAGCAGCGAAAACACAAUGGAGCCCCCCCCCCACAAUCCAUUGACUUGAGAAAGGUUGAAAAGUUGUUUUUAAAUAAAAAUAAAUAUUUUUUUUCAUGUUCUAUGUUGUCCCCAUAACAAAAGCACAGUCACAAACCAAGUAACACAAGCAAAUUCACAUCAAAACCCUCUCCUUAAUUUCUGUCCUCUUCCCCUUUUUGACCCUGUUACUGUGUCAUUAAGACGGACACUAUGUCAAUAACAUCAUCAUUUCUGUAUUGUACCACAAACACAUGGCAUUACAUUCAUUCCUACAUUUAAUUUGCCCACCAAAGCCUUGCAGUGCCUUUGAUAAUCACUCUGUCUGUUUUAUAUCUAUUGUCCACUUGAUGGCGCAGUAGAGCACAUUAUGCACAACAAAUUCAGCUCCGGGGGUUGAGAAACAGAAUACAAAGCUUUAAUGCUUCAAGAGGCUUCACUUUACCAUCACUAGCAAUACAGACAGGCAUUGUGCGACACUUCAAACUAAUGUAAAAGGAUUUCUUUGAACAAUUGAUCAGGGGAGAGCGCGAACGCAGUCCCCCACUACCAGAAAUUAUGCAGUCGAGAUUCCCACAUUUGGGGAAUUCGCAGGGGUCAGCACAACCGGAGUGCAAUGGCUGAGCCUCGCCCUGGGUGAACCACCUUCUUGAUCAUGGUAUCUCCCCUGCCAGGUAAGUAUGAGUUGUACAGCUCAGCGACACGCACCACAUCCACGCACAUACCACAAUGACUAAUGGCGCCAAAUAUAUACACAUCACCAAAAUUUAAGGCUAUGUGGCUGCAAUAUACACAUUAUUAUUUCUUACAAAUAAUCACCGUGCACCAAAGCUCACAAAAAACUUGCCUUUUGGCUUAACAAGAAAAAACAAGACUAUUUCCCAUCACGCAUUGCUGCAGCUCAUAUCAAAAGCUGAACAGAAACUCGCACGUUUUCUAAAUCAAACCACUGAGCAGCGACCACAAACAGACCUAAAAUGGGUCAGAGCUUAAUCACAAUCUAAUCUAUGUUCUUAGAUAAAUGAUCAAGUGAAUUAAAGGAUUUAACAACUCUUUUUUUCUCUGCUUUCUCUGCCACAUCGCAGCCACUUCCUGUUCCUUUGUCCUCUGCCACUGAGUGUUUUGCAUUUCUGCCACUGCCCCCUACUGCUCUGGAGUGUAAAGGCGUCUGGUGGCUCAGUGAAAAAAAAGGCUUAAUACUGCCUCAGAGCACACAGUGCUAUAACACCAUCUGAUUAAAAUUGCAACAAAAAUUCAACUUUAUGAUGUAUAAUAUUGUGUAUAAUAUUGUGAGCCACAGAAAAGAAGAAUAACCCCUGCAAAAAAUCCCUCAUACAUGAUCUCUGCUUUCAAGUUGCCUUCAGUGGUUUCGGUUGGUGUGUAACAGAGCUCUGAAAAUAUUUGUAAUCUGUUAUAAUGUACCUUGGAGUGGAUAAAAAUGUAUCUUCAAUAUCAAAUUGAUUUCAGGGGUUAAUAGAUUGAUGGAUUCAGAACAGGGCUUGAAUGAAAGCCAGCAUACUCUUAACCCAACAAAGUGAUAAAAAAAAAAAAACACUGAAAAAUAUCCUGAACAUGAGUCUUACCAAGGACUGACACCAGUGUCUGCAAUACAAUUUUCAUGGGGCAUGGUUUACUUCACUGGCUGAUAACUAUGACAUAGUAGGACUGGGCGACUAUAUGAUCGUGAUCGAUGAUCGCGCUAAUUUUCAGUUCGAUCAUGGUGAUCAGCUGUGAGUAUAUUUACUCGAUCAAACAUGGCAGAAACGUGUGUCACAACAGCCAAACAGAGUCGAGCUUUUCCUGCUCACUUCUGUAGGUUACCAGAGAAGUAAACAGAAUGAGCAAACAUGGAGCUAAAAGCAGAGCUGAGGGCAGCAAAAUAGACGUCAGCAGUGACUUUGAGUCAUCCUCAGAAGAUGUUAUAGCUGAGAAGUUUUUCAACGUCUCUCCAAAGUGACGUCGAGCAAUUAAGCCGAUAAACCGGCAACAUAACAAAUCUGUUCUUCCCGAGGGAAGCAUGAAAAUGGGAGCAGAGUCUGUACAGCCUGUCACUGCUGAUGGUACGAGUAGUUUUAGCAGUUUAGCCACAACUAGCGGUGCAGCCACCAGACCAAAGUAGCGAUCAAUCAUUUUUACCUGCCAACACUCCCGUUUAUCCCGAGACUCUCCUGUAUUUCAGACGUAUCUCCCGCCCACCCCCCGUAUUGUCAUUUUUCCCGAGAAUAUCUCGUAGCAUGGUCCGCAUUCAUUCAUGAUUCGGAUCACUAUAUUUGUCUUAAGUUUCCACACAACCGGAGAUAGUCCUGUGUUUCUGCUGAGCCUCACAGACAGUGGAUUGAUACUUUGACUUUACAGUUUGGGAUGAUUCAGGUCGGUUUCAGCUGUAAACUAUAUUUAAGCAGUGUUUGUUGGAAAAUGAACACUUCAAUGAAAGGAAACAAACGCGAGAUAUGCGAGAGUGAUGCGUUCAGGGCAGCCUCAGAUAAAAGAGUGCUGUAUUUCAUGCACAGAUGUUCAGAGAGCCUCAUACGGGAGAGCAUGUAAAACAUAUCAGGACUUUAACACUAAUAUUAGUGGACUAAAUAAGUUCAAGGCAUAGCAUACCUUUUAUCUUUUUUUUUUUUUUUUUACCAUUUGUUAUUGUUAAAGCAAAACCAAAGUGUGCAGCUCCACUUAUACUUAUUUGGAUGAGCAAUUUGAUAACAAAUACUCUCAUAAUUAGUUCAUAUCCACCAUACAAGGUCACUCCAAAACUGCCCAGCAUGCGCCACAAACAACUCCAGGAUUGUCUAACCCAAAUGUUGGCAGGUAGCCAUAUCAUCUACGUUUACAUCACCUAAUGUUUACAUUUUAAAGCACCUUCAUUAUGUCUGAGGGGUGAUUUGUUGAUUUUGGGUCUUGCAUAUCUGCAAAAACACUCAGGACUGUAAACUAAUUCUGUGUAUUACUUAGGAUUUAUCUACAUUUGUUGUACUGUUGAAUAAAAAUGUUUUUUUAGAUUUAGAUCUUAUUCCAUUUGCCUUCUUAUUUACUUUGUAUGUAAAUAAAAUGUUGAACUAAUCUCUAGUUUUUUUAGUUUUUAGUACAGAUGCUUUAAAACUGGCAGUUUAGAAAAAAACUGUGAUAAUAAACGAGAUCGGAUGAUAUGACAAAAUAAAUCGUGAUCGUUUUUUUUGCCAAAUCGCCCAGGCCUAUGACACAGCUGCCAUCCAGUUAAGUAUAAUCUGUCAAAAUAUCAACUACAGACAUCGAUCUUUCCUAAGUUAAAGUUUUGCCUCCAGGAGUGGAAGCAUGAAGUGAAACUUUGGACCCUGGUCUGUGAACCAUUUGAGCAGCAACUAAAGUGUGAUUUGUCAGAGCAUGUACUUUGAAAGUUCUGACAAAAUGGGUGUAUGUAUAGAUCUAUGAACACACUGAUUCUUUGCAAUUUAAACCAAGUGGAUGCUAGGUAAGAAAUGCAGUACUAUGCAGUCCCUGAGAACCACACAGCUUUUGCUAGUAAACACUGUCUUACUUUAAUUAAACACGGAGAGGGGGGUGCACCAUUCCUGGAGAUACUGCAAUACCAGGUCGAUGCGUGGAGUGGACGGAGCAAGCCCCUAUUCCAUCUCCCAGUUCCAAAAAUCAAUUUAAUAUAUGGUCCCCGGGUAGGGGACGUAUCAGAUAUUAAACUGAUAAGAACAGAUACUACACUUGAUCUUAGCCAAAAGGCCGAGAAGCGAUAACUACAAAUGGGAGCAGUGGGGGAGUCAUUCCACUCAUCACCCUUGCCAAUCACGGUUCAAGAUAGUCUGUCAAAACAUAGAAACCAAUACUGUAAAAUUAACAAGGCGACUGAUUUUCUUCAGCCGACAGUUAGCAUAAAGAAUAUCAGAUCCGAUGUUUGUUCACAAAAACGUUACACUGGUGAAUGCAACGCCAGAACAUUUCUGGUCACGUGAGGAGCUGUUGUCCAAUAAGGUAGUAAAACAAUGUUUGUGUUAAGUUUAAAGUCUGCUGUUUAUGUCAAAAUACUAAAUGUGGAUACACUUUGUUAUUUAUCACAAACGGCCGCGUGAAUCGAUGAAAUAAAUGCAAAUUCCCGGAGACUGGAUGCUUCCCUAAGCAUGAAUUAAACCCUGUCUCAAACCACUGAGCAGCAGACACAAACAGACCCAAAAUGGAUCAGAGCUUAAUCCCAAUCUAAUCUAUGUUCUUAGAUAAAUGAUCAAGUAAAUUAAAGGAUUAAAAAAACUCCUUUUCUCUCUGCUUUCUCUGCCACAUUGCAGCCACUUCCUGUUCCUUUGUCCUCUGCCACAGAGUAUUUUGCAUUUCUCCCACUGCCCCCUACUGCUAUGGAGUGUGAAGGCUUCUGGUGGCUCAGUGAAAAAAAAGGCUUGAUACUGCCUCAGAGCACACAGUGCUAUAACACCAUCUGAAUAAAAUUGCAACAAAAAUUCAACAUUUAACACUCAAUAGUCUUAUUUAAUAAAGAAUCAAUACAUCUUCACUACACUACAUAAAACUACAAACAAAAUACAGCCUGUUGUUUCAGGAUUUCAAACAGCAGCAAACAAAGUCACACAGUUUUGACAUUUCUUAAUUUUUUAUAUUUCCUUAAUUGCAAUGGAGGAUUAAAGGGUAAAAAGAGUAAAAAGUUAGUUUUGGUAAAAGUUAACCUGUUUCCUUUUCACAGAACAGGCAGUAAACAAAGGGUUUUUUGUUGAAGCAAAACAAAGCCCAUCAUUGUCAUGCUCAUCAUUCCUUCUUUAAACACAGAGUCAGGGGUACACCAUCUCUGGAGGUACUGCAAUAACAGGCCAAAGGAAAAAAGGCCACAAUUUUUGCAAACUGAGCUCUGUCUACAUCUGCUGUAAAAAAACUGAAGGUGGAAAGGAUUUUGAUGGUUUGCACUGUGCUGGGUAUGACCUCUUGAGUGAACUCAUGUACUUCCAUCCAAGUCAUGUACUUCAUGUAAGUCCAUCCUACUUAAAAGAAUGAUUUGUAAUGAUGUGAUAUUCAGCAUUUUUACAAGAAUUGGCCUCAGCUGUUUUUUCCCACAGAUAGCCGAUAAAAUAAGCUUAUUUUGAAACACACUCACUCAGCUCUUAUACAGCCACCUCUCUCUGCCUGAAGUCACCACUCUUGUCUGUGUACCAAUGUUUAUUAAAAUUCAGGGAGCUACUUUUUUCGCCUAUUUAUUUUAGUUGCAGUAAGAGGUCAUCAGAAAUGCUGCUAUAAGAUUAGGGUUGGGUAUCGUUUGAUUAUGAACGAUUUUGAUUCUGAUUCCUAUCGAUUCUCUAUUACAAUUCUUUUAAAAGGCAGGAUAUCAAAAAAAAAAAAAAAAGCAAAGUUUGGAUGAGGGCGCUAACCAGAGCUCUUCUUUUUAGAUGAAAUUUCUGAACCUCUCCAUGAAUUUUUAAAUUCUAUUAACUUUUUAAGAACUUUACUUUGAAUUUCUCACAGGGCUAUUUUCAACCAGGAUAUAAAUAUCAGUUUUUGUUGUCAGGUAGUUUGUCUAUGAAAAAGUACAAGGGCUAACGUUAGUUGGAUAUUUUAAGUUUACUCACCGUACACAGUACAAUUUGUUUACCGCUUCAAAGUUAGCAGAGGACAGAAGUAAUUUAUUGUUUCACUUAUCUGAUCCUGACUGGUUAGCGGAAGACAGGUGUUGUGCUGUAGAAUGCACUCCUGCCGUAGAAUGCAUCCCCUCCACUCAUUAGCUUCUUAAAGUGGAAGACAAUGAUCUCAUAUUUAAAAAAAAACACGAGUAUAAGAUCAUGAAAACAUGUCAAAUUGAGCAGUAAACUUUCCUUUUGUUUUUAUGUAUUUUUUAAAAAAAAUGCACACACAGAGAUGUACUUGGGUAUAUAAACUGUACAGUAAGCUGUUAAGGUAGAGAACAUUAAAUUUUCAGGACAGUAAAUAUUCAGAAUCAGAGGGCUAUUGUUUACGGCUUAUCUGAAUAGUCUGAAUGAAAUCAUUAAAGGCACAUGCUUUAGAUUCCGUUCAACGUAAGGAAAACUUGGAUUGUUUCGCCUUGUUGUGUACUUUCAACCGCGCUCCCGUCAGGGGUGCAGUCUAUGGCACAACACUGGCGAAGCGCGUCAAAGACGAGCACUCGGGUAUUUCUCCUCCAUGAAUCCUAAGGGGGGUAUAAUCAUUGUUGGUCGUUUACCCUCCUUUGCAUGAUAUAACUGUAUUGCUAAUUGAGAUAAGAAUUCAUUCUUCCUGCUAAAGUUAGCCAAACUUUUGACCAACGAAGAAGAAGCCGCUGAACACCAACGAGGAUGGAGCAUAUGAGACGAAGCCACAGAGAGAGAGAGAGGAGAGAGACAGAGAAAGAGAGUGCAUUGUAACCCACAGCGGCUGCAUUGCUGUGGGUUGCAAUAUACUUUCUCUCUCUGUCUCUCUUCACUUUCUGUGUAGCUUCGUCUCAUACGCUCCAUUCUUCGUCCUUCUUCUUAGUGGAUUUUCGGCGGCUAUUUCUUCCGGUCAGCGGACUCCGGCAUCGAAACUUGGAAUCGAAAUUUUAAUACUUGAACGAUACCCAAAGAAUCGAAAUGUUAGUCCCCGUCCUUAUCGAUACUCGAUUCUCGAUACCCAACCCUAUAUAAGAUCCCUGCACUUUAAAACAUUUUUUUUAACCUUUCAAGUAGGGUUGGGCAUUAAUAAGGUAACAAGGUAUUAAGGUAUACCGGCGGUGUCUUUCAAAAGCAAUGGUAUCAGAAUCAAUAGCGUCGGCGCUGUGUUUUGUAUGCCCAGAGUUUUAUUACCAUAACUACAUCAAAGUUUGUCUGAUCAGUGUUGGAAAGCUGUGCAUGCACCCAUAUAGGAUUUACUACGGUAGUCAUAAUCACAUGAGGUAGGCAGUCAUUGCAAAACACAGGAAGUAUCGGCAGAGCGCUACACGGCGCUCAAUACUGUAACCGCCUUUAAAGUUUGCUCGAUCUGAAAAAUUUCACUGCUGACGGACAGCUAAGUAUCUGUGCUUUCUGUCAAUAUAUGAUGUAUUAGGAGUACAAGAUAUUGGAAAUGGAAAACUGACAUUGCGAUUUUGGGGGGGUUUGCGAUAGGCCUGCACGAUAUAUCGUUUGAGCAUCGUCAUUGCGAUGUACGUGUGUGCAAUAGUCACAUCGCAGAGCCUGCAAUGUCGGAGGUGAAUGAACUCAGUUAAUUUCAAGGGUAGCUGACUGAGAUACACUGCAUGUGACUCUGCAUGCACUUUGCAGCGAUUCACCAAUCACCUUCGUUCUUUACUCAGUUGCCAAUCAGACUACCCUGCCAGCUGUCAAUCAAAAUCAGAGAGGAGGAAACCCGCCCCUGCACAUGGAGUGAGCCGCUGGCGCUACCGGAGUUGAGCUGACAAACGCCUCUGCUGAAAAUUACUUUCGGAACAUUACUCAUCACUAGUGCUGGGCGAUAGGACGAUACAUAUUGUGGGCACAAGGAAAAAGUCUAUCGUGCCAUUUCUAUUUUUAUCGUUUCAAACGAUAGGCUGUAUUUUAUACAUAGGGCUUGUGCCAUCAGAUGAUUCAUAGUAACAACAACAAUAAUUGCACAUUCAGUAGGUGUAUUUGGUGUCAAACGGGAAAGAAAACAAUAUUUUCUUACAAAGAAAAGGAUGCGUUGACAUGUAGGCUCGCAUUUCUCUUUCGAUUUUGCGACAUGACGCCGCUUUACGUGCCCUCUUUAUGUCCAGCGUCUCCCGCACGUGAGGAGAUCAUUGUGAGUAAACAUGGAGACAGCAGGGAUAGGCAGUGCGCUGGCAGAAAAACAAAUUGAACCCCCACAAUCAAUAGAGACGGAGUCCCAGGACGAACUCCUACCCAAACAAGGGGGUAGCUCGUCAGUCUGGCUUUAUUUUGGUUUCAAAGCGACAGAUUCAGAGCAGAAAACGGUCAUAUGCAAAGUAUGCAAGAAAAGUGUUCCCUCGCCUGACGCUAAUACAACCAACUUAUUCUACCACCUCAGAAGACACCACGAGAAGGAGUACAUUGAGACCCAAAGGCAAGAGUCACACCAAUCAAUGCUAGCAGCGCUAAUCAACCAAAAAUUCAAGACGCUCUGGUACGACACAAACCCUACGAGAAAACGUCCCGCAUUUACCAACAAAUAACAGACGCCAUCGCAUGCCUUAUUGAUAAAGGUAUGGUCCCGGUGUACUUGGUGGAAAAGAAGGCAUUCAAAGACGUCAUCAAAACGCUAGACCCCAGAUAUGUCGUGCCAAGUCAAUACUUCCAAAUUUCGGAUGUUGACUUUCUUUUGGGGACUAAAUCCUCUGUCGCUUCCUCCUGCAUGUCGCCUGUUUUCAGCGUGUAAGUGAGAGCGGCCCCUCCCCCCUCCACAGCUGGAGGGGCAGACGACUGCUUAGCAGGAGGGAAGGGGAGAGAGAGGGAGAGAGAGGCUUUGCGGAGCAUGGAGAGGCAUGCUGCUUUUAUGAAGUAAAACAAAAGUUUUCGUGUUCUAAAAAAAAGAUAAAAAUAUUGCACGCCCUGCGAUGUGACUAUCGCGCAUGCGCACAUUGCGAUGUUCAAUCGAUAUAUCGUGCAGGCCUAUGAUGUAUGUUAUAUAUUAUGGUAGUCUUGAACGGUACCACCAACACAGCAACUUUGACGGGCAAGGAAGAAAAGGAGAGUGGUGUGAGAGAGUGAAGUAAGACAGAGCAAGCAAAAUAGUGUUUUUUCUUUUUUUAAGUAGUGUUGCUCGGUUUUAUAUUUGUAAUCGUAGCUCUUUUUAACACUAAAGAUUCUUACAAUUUGCACAAUAAGGAAUGUCAUUCUAUUUAAAUUUUAUUUGUUAUUAUGUUAAUAUUCAUGGAGUGGGGAUUGACAGAGCAGCUGUGAUAACAGAUGUAUAUCAUGUAAAACUGUUAGUCCUAUCCUUUGCUUGUUACUGAUUUAUUUUCUUUAAAUUUUAUAUGAUCUAUUUUAAUCAGGUCGUGUGAAUGGGGUUGUGAAGCAACCUACAGUCUGCUACUCAAAGAUUGUGACUGUAGCUUGUGCAGCCCAGAGACUAGCCCUUGCCUGCAAGGACUCAACCAACAAUGUUAAGAACAUGGCCACUUUCAGAGAUCACCUGCUCCUCUCAUUCUUCCAUAACAGUGCAAAUCACACCGCAACACUCAAGGCAGCAUCCAUCAUCCCGGGUGUUGGUGACUUAAAAUGAAGGCGAUCAUAAUCUGAUACUGUAGUAGCUGUCUUUUGUUUGUUAUGUAAAAUGUUUUAUCUCUGAGUUUAACAAGGCAAUAGCAAGGACGUGGAGUGAGGAAGUAUAACGAUAAAUUCGAUCUCUAUCAAAACAAGGAUAAGUGGUCACAAUUUUAGUUCUUACAGAAGUGGUGUAGUUGGUAAUUUUCUUUGUACAAUUGAUCAGGGGAGAGCGCGAACGCAGUCCCCCACUACCAGAAAUUAUGCAGUCGAGAUUCCCACAUUUGGGGAAUUCGCAGGGGUCAGCACAACCGGAGUGCAAUGGCUGAGCCUCGCCCUGGGUGAACCACCUUCUUGAUCAUGGUAUCUCCCCUGCCAGGUAAGUAUGAAUUGUACACCUCAGUGACACACACCACAUCCACACACAUACCACAAUGACUGAUGGCGCCCAAUAUAUGAACAUCACCAAAACUAAAGGCUAUGUGGCUGCAAUAUACACAUUAUUAUUUCUUACAAAUAAUCACCAUGCACCAAAGCUCACUAAGAACUUGCCUUUUGGCUUAACAAGAAAAAAACAGACUAUUUCCCAUCACGCAUUGCUGCAGCUCAUAUCAAAAGCUGAACAGAAACUCAAACGUUUUCUAAAUCAAGCCACUGAGUAGCGACCAAUAACAGACCUUAAAUGGGUCAGAGCUUAAUCCCAAUCUAAUCUAUGUUCUUAGAUGAAUGAUCAGGUUAGUUAAAGGAUUUUAAAAAACUCUUUUUCUCUCUGCUUUCUCUGCCACAUCGCAGCCACUUCCUGUUCCCUUGUCCUUUUUGUUGCUGAGUGUUUUGCAUGUCUGCCACUGCCCCCUACUGAUCUGGAGUGUAAAGGUUCUGGUUGCUCAAUGAAAAAAAAGGCUUGAUACUGCCUCCUGCCUUGAUACUGCCACCAUCUGAAUAAAAUUGCGACAAAAUUUAACAUUUAACACUAAACACUCUAAUUUAAUAAAGAAUAAAUACAUCUUCACUGCACUGCACAAAACUACAAAUACAAAAUACAGCCUGUUGUUUCAGGAUUUCAAACAGCAGCAACAAAACCACACAGUUUGUAUGUGAUGUUUGGCAUUUCCAUUGUCAUUUCCUUAUUAUUCCUUAUUAUUAUUAUUAUUUUUUAAUGCUUUAUUUCUGUUUUAAUAGGGAAAUAAUAUUAGAUUUAGUAAGAGUAAAACGUUUUUCUUUUAGUUCACAGGACACACCAGAUAUUGGUACUAAUCAAGGGGGCCAAACUUCUUCUUUUUUUUUUUUUAAAAGGCCAACCUUUGUAGUUUAAUCUUGGCAUGAUAGGCUUUCCUGAGUGGUAGCUGCGCUGUAGUCAUCACUUAAUUAAGUAAACCAAGGCCUGAUAAAAACUGCAUUCAGGACACUGAUGUAUAUCCUAGGCUAAGCUCAUGAUCAGGAUAUAUUUGAGUGUAUAAUAAUGUAGUUUGGUAUCAUUUAAAGGCAGACACACCUUAACUCUUUUACCAGUAAGUGGAAAACAUUUUUUUACAUCAUUCUCGUUUCAACUCCCUUUUUUUUCUUUGAGUAUGAGGUGUUUUAGCAACCAGCUAAGGAGCUUUAAAAUGUAUAAUAUAGUGUUUAAUAUUGUGAGCCAUAGAGACGUAGAAUGACCCAAGCAAAAAUCCCUCGCAUAUGAUCUCUGCUUUCAAGUUGCCUUCAGUGGUUUCAGUUGGUGUGUAACAGAGCUCUGAAAUAAUUAUAAUCUUUUAUAGUAUACCUUAGAGUGGAUGAAAAUGUAUCUUAAAUAUCAAAUUGAUUUCUGGGGUCCAGUUCAAACUGAGGGACCGACUGCUGUAUAAAAUACCUUUUGAUGGUAACUGCUAGUGAUGUGUCCUUCAGUGCCGAGGCUUCGAAGCGUGUGUCGAGUAAUGAAGGGGGCGUUUCCGCGAAGCGCGUAUCGAGGCUUGCUUCAUCAGGGUUUUUCCUGCGUUCAAAAUUGCGUGGCGGCCGCCUCCACCUAAUUUUGUGCCGCCCCCAGCCAGAGCGAUUGAUUUCGCUCAACACAGCGUAAAGCUCCAGCUGUGUUGAUUGAGCGAUUGAUGUCCCGAUGCAGCAGCAACGUAUUUUAACUGCAGUUGCAGCGUUGCGCCACUAUAGAGGCGCUAUAUCAACAGCAGUGCACCGGAAAGACCUGAAGCAUCUACCGAAGAAGAAACGGAUCGAAUCAUGUUUUUUCAAGUUUUUUUCCCGCUAGUUGGUGCUGUCGGCGUCCUGAUUUUCCCUGGCGGAUGGUACAAACAGGUAAAUACUGCUUCUCUUUUUUGCAUCCAAGCAUGUCGUGUUUAUUUUAAAAAAAAAAGUUUACUCCGUUUUUAGCGUUGCAGUUAUGACAGGCAAAAUCAGCCAGUACUUUAAAAAGCGACCUCGCGAGGAGGAAAGUCAAGAGUCCAGGUGAAACACAGCAGAGAAAAAACGUAACAGGCAGUUAAAAUGCUAUAAUUCAUAGUGGUGACAACGUGGAAACUUGUGUCAGGUCUGAAAGUACUUCACAAGGGACUGGUGAUCGCGAGGGUCAGAAUGCAGGACAGGACGAGUCGGCGAGGCGAGGGUAAUUAAUUAAUUAGUUUCCAAUUAGGAGCAUAACAACGCAAAGCCAACGUGUACGUGGUUUUUAUUUCUCUUUCUAGAUCUUCUCAAAAACACAGAGCCAGUGGCUUUGACAAGCAGUGGCUCAAUCAAUUUACCUGGCUCAGGCAUACUGAGGAAGGCAUGCACUGCUGUUUAUGCCAAAAGCACUGUGCCCCAACACAGCAGGCAAUUGCUGCCUCCUUAGUGAGACAGCCAUCAACCAACUACAGGCUGGACAUAUUAAAAAGACAUGAGGUGACAGCCGUUCACAAAGCAGCAGAAGAGAAGGAGAAAUAUAUUAAAGAUGGUAGAACCUAAAAAAACUCAACUAAUAAAGUUACAAAAAAUAAAUAACAUAGUUUAGAUAGUUUAAGAAAUAAUUGGUUGUCGUUUUUUUUUUUUAGGGAGGACACUGCAGCGUAUACAUAUAUAUGAUUGAAAACACUAUCACUCUUCAUGUCUGUAUUAGAAUAAAAACAAAAAUACUUAAUGCAUGAUGAAUUGUUUUGUUUAAGGUGAAGACACCUCUGUGGAGCAGACUGAAGGAGAGGCACUUGGAUGUCUGUUGUAAGGUGGCCGUUGAUGGACCAGACCAGGAGGCCUUGGACUACAAGGAGUGCAUGAGGAGUUUCUACAGAAUGAAAAAGAGGAGGCUGAAAUGUUCUGUCUGGUUGCGAGAUGUGUGGAUGAAGUGUACUUUCAAUUUAAAGUUGCCAGCUGAUUUGUGUAUGUAUAUAGUUUUAAUAAAUGAAUGCUUUAACAUAAUAAUGGUCACACUCUUUUUUGAACUCUUAACUUAAAGUAUGUUGCCUGUAAAAGAAAGUGAAUCGGUUGAAUUUACAAAUACAUGCACGUCAUGGCGCAUGGUCAGGAUGGUGCCACCUCUGCCUCAAUUUGAGCCAGGAAAAACCCUGUUCAUGUAGGGGUGGAGCCAAAAAUGAUGACGUCCGAAGCCUCGCUACCCGGCUGUACCACGUGACUGAUUCAAGAAACAGUUCACGGGUUUGGCGGAUGAUUUAACAGGCAGCGAAACGCAAUGGAGUCCUCCCCCACUCACAAUCCAUAGACUCGAGACUUGUUGAAAAGUUGUUUUUAAAUAAAAAUAAAUAAAUAUAAAUGAAAUGUUUAUGUUUUAUUUGUUGUCCCCGUAACAAAAGUACGAACAACAAACUAAGUAACACAAGCACAUUCACAUCACAACCCUCUCCAUAACUGAUGUCCUCUUCCCCUUUUUGACACUGCAGCUGUGUCUUAAAGACAAACACCAUAUUAAUAAGUCCAUGUAGAUUCUCAUUCAUCCAGGUCAUGGUUAUCUUGAAGACUUAAAAAACAGGCAACUGGACUGUGUAGAGUUAAGAAGACGUUUCGCCUCUUAUCCAAGAAGCUUCUUCAGUUCUAAAAGUGCUAGUGUCAGGAGCAGAUAUUUAUCUUACUGGAGAAGGGGGACAGUUAACGACUGGGAGGAGUUGAAAAGAAUGGGUCGUAGAAACCCAUCUCUCGGUGUGUCCCCCCCAAGUCGUUAUCCUGAAAGGGUCGUUAGCGACUCCUAUCAUGUGACCACAUGACUCAUGCCACCUGAGUCAUGUGGUUCCAGGUGUGAAUGUUUGUGGAGCUUUCUGGGGAGAGAGCUGAGAACUGCAUUGUAAGUGCCAGAGAGAUUGUGCCUGAGUCCACCUCCUCUGUUCAGAGAAGGUUUCUCCAGCCUGGUAAAGAUGGCUUCUUUAACUCCUCUUUCGAACCAUCUGUCUUCUCGAGCCAACACCUGUACAUCGCUGUCCUCAAAAGAGUGACCUGUAUCCUUCAAGUGAAGGUGGACAGCUGAGUCCUGACCUGAGGAAGUGGCUCUCCUGUGUUGAGCCAUGCGCUUGUGAAGCGGUUGUUUAGUUUCCCCAAUGUACAGGUCUGAGCAUUCCUCGCUGCACUGGACAGCAUAUACCACAUUACUCUGUUUAUGUCUCGGUGUUUUGUCCUUGGGAUGGACUAGCCUCUGCCUUAGUGUGUUACCAGGCUUGAAAUGAACAGGAAUGUGGUGUUUGCCAAAGAUCCUUUUGAGUUUCUCAGACAGGCCUGCAACGUAAGGGAUUACAGUGCUCUUGCGUCUCUCCUCCCUUUCCUGUUCAGUGUUAUUUCUCUUUCUGUUCUUCACAAAGGCCCACUUAGGGUAUCCACAGGUUGUCAGGGCAUUUUUGACGUGCUUUUGUUCCUUUUCCUUACCUUCUUUCUUCGUGGGAAUGUUCUCGGCCCGGUGGUUGAGUGUUCUGAUGACACCCAGUUUGUGCUGCAGAGGAUGGUGGGAAUCAAAAAGUAGAUAUUGAUCCGUGUGUGUUGGUUUCCUGUACACUUCAACGUUGAGCCACCCAUCUGCCUCCAAGUGUCCCCCUUCUCCAGUAAGAUAAAUAUCUGCUCCUGACACUAGCACUUUUAGAACUGAAGAAGCUUCUUGGAUAAGAGGCGAAACGUCUUCUUAACUCUACACAGUCCAGUUGCCUGUUUUUUAAGUCUUCAAGAUAACCAUAUUAAUAACUUCAUCAUUUCUGUAUUGUAUCACAAACACACGGCAUCACAUCCAUUCAUUCAUUGAAUUCAAAGCUUCACGCACCAAAGCCUCGGGGUGUCUUUGGUUUAUCACUCUGCCUGUUUUACAUUUAUUGUCCACUUCAUGGCGGAAUAGAGUAAAUGAAGCACAAUCAUGAAGCAUUGACCCAGGAGGCGAGUAAUUGGAUGGAAAGCUUCAAUGCUUCAUGAGGCUUCAUCUCGCCAUCACUAGUAACUACUAACGAAAUUUAUCUUUCACAAUGAGAGGGGGGUGCACCGUUCCUGGAAGUGCUGCAAUACCAGGUCGAUGCGUGGAGUGGACGGAGCAAGCCCCUAUUCCAUCUCCCAGUUCCAAAAAUCAAUUUAAUAUAUGGUCCCCGGGUAGGGGACGUAUCAGAUAUUAAACUGAUAAGAACAGAUACUACACUUGAUCUUAGCCAAAAGGCCGAGAAGCGAUAACGACAAAUGGGAGCAGUGGGGGAGUCAUUCCGCUCAUCACCCUUGCCAAUCACGGUUCAAGAUAGUCAGUCAUAACACAGAAACCAAUUAAGUAAAAUAAACAAGGCGACUGAUUUUCUUCAGCCGACAGUUAGCAUAAAGAAUAUCAGAACCGAUGUUUGUUCACAAAAACGUUACACUGGUGAAUGCAACGCCAGGCCAUUUCUGGUCACGUGAGGAGCUGUUGUCCAAUAAGGUAGUAAAACAACAUUUGUCUUAAGUUUAAAGUCUGCUGUUCUUGUCAAAAUACUAAAUGUGGAUUCAUAUUGUUAUUCAUCACAAACGGCCGCGUGAAUCGAUGAAAUAAAUGCAAAUUCCCGGAGACUAAUUGCUUCUCUUAUCAUGAAUUAAACCCUGUCUCAAACCACUGAGCAGCGACCACAAACAGACCCAAAAUAGAUCAGAGCUGAAUCACAAUCUAAUCUAUGUUCUUAGAUAAAUGAUCAAGUAAAUUAAAGGAUUUAAAAACUCCUUUUCUCUCUGCUUUCUCUGCCACAUUGCAGCCACUUCCUGUUCCUUUGUCCUCUGCCACUGAGUGUUUUGCAUUUCUGCCACUGCCCCCUACUGCUGUGGAGUGUGAAGGCUUCUGGUGGCUAAGUGAAAAAAAAGGCUUGAUACUGCCUCAGAGCACACAGUGCUAUAACACCAUCUGAAUAAAAUUGCAACAAAAACUCAACAUUUAACACUCAAUAGUCUGAUUUAAUAAAGAAUAAAUACAUCUUCACUACACUACGUUUUAUUACCUUAAUUGCAAUGGAGGAUUAACAAAACCUGCUACUUCUCAGCAGAAGUAAAGGAUGAAGUGAAAAGGGUGCUUCUGCACAUGCUGGACACAGCGGACGCCAGUGCCAGCAGACCCACACCUGAUCAGCCUUCUGUGAAACUUCCAGCCAAAAGGGCAAGUCUACUGCUUUCGGUGCAUGAUGAGAUACUGAAGGAGGGUGCUAGCAAUGAGGAAGAGCAACUGCUGUGCAGCCCUUCAUCUGUGUAGUUACAUCGCUACCUGUCCGAGUUGCCCAUCAAGAGAUCUGAAGGUGAAACUGUAAAUGAUGUACUGAGAUACUGGCACGAAAACAAAACACACUACCCUGCACUUGCCCCACUUGCCCAAGCCUACCUCUCUGCUCCAUGUACAAGCAUUGAUAGUGAGCGCUUGUUUAGCUUGGCUAGUGGUGGUGCAACGGAUCAUCAUUGAUCCGUGAUCCGUUCGGAUCGACGUCAUCGGUUCGGCACACACGUUACCCGCGGUUCGAUUUCUGAAAAAAAAAAUUUGGCUUCCCUGUCAACUAUGAUGAGGAAGGAAAGAGGUCAGUGGACAAAACUGCGAAGGUGUGUAGGCACUGUGGCAUAAGAAAGCCAUAUGACAGUGGAAACACAUCGAGCAUGUUCACGCAUUUGAAAGCGACAUCACCCGGGUGUUUUAAUGACAGGUGUUGUGCCGUAGACUGCACCCCUGCAUCCCCUCCACUCGUUAGCUUCUUAAAGUGGAGAUAAUGAUCUCAUAUUUAAAGAAACACGAGUAUUAGAUCAUGACAACAUGUCAAAUGGAGCAGCAAACUUUCAUUUUCUUUUUAUGUGUCUCAAAAAUGCAAAUAUAGAGGUGUACUUGGGUAUAAACUGUACAGAAAGCUGUCCAGGUAGAGAGCAUUAUAUUUUCGGGACAGCAAUAUUCCAAGGGCUGUUGUUUUUGGCUUCUUUGAAUAGCCUGAAUGAAAUUAUUACAGGCAAACGCUUUUGAAUCCAUCCAAUGUAAGAAAAACUUGGAUUAUUUCACCUCGUUAUGUACUUUAAACCGCGCUCCCGUCAGGGGGUGCAUUCUACGGCAGGGGUGCAUUCUAUGUCACAACACCUGAGAUAAAACGAAAGCUGGCCAGCAACCGCUCAUCACCGCAGCAUUUAAGCAGCCUCUUCCUGCGCAAUCCGACCGGGUUAAAGCUAUCACAAACGCUAUCGGUGUGUUUAUAGCUGCAGACAUGAGGCCGUAUUCAGUUGUGCAAACGAGGGCUUUAAAAACAUGCUGAAAGUGCUUGAGCCACGUUACAAUAUCCCACCGCGCACAUACUUCAUUUUUGGUUCAUUGUUACAUUUUAAAGGAAGGAGAUAUGCAUAUAUAUUGCACUUUAAGUUGUUUUUCAUUAAUAAUUAUGUUGAAAAGAAGAUAUUAUGCCGUAUGCACUACUUUUAUAUAUUUUAAUUCAACCAUUUAAGUGUUUAAUAUACAGACAAAACUGCUUUUUGCUGAUCCGAAAAAUGAUCCGAUCCGUGACUCUUGAUCCGAGGAACGAUCCGAUCCGUGAGUAUUGUGAUCCGUUGCAUCACUAUUGGCUAGUAAUGUCAUAGAUGAGAAAAGAAACAGGCUUUCUGGUGAGAAGGCAGAGAUGCUUCUGUUUGUCAAGAAGAACCUGUCAAUUAAACAUCACCCACUGGAAGAACUUACUCGUAGAUCAAAUCUCAAUAGAAAAAAUGUCAGCAUCACUUAAUCAUAACACACCUUGCUUUAAUAAAACCUGGUCUACAUUUAUUAAUAAACUGACUUUCAACGAUCGCCGGACCCCCCAAACCACAGCAUCCAUAAAAUCUGGCCCCAUCUUACUCACAUCCACAUAAUCAGCACAAACACAUCAACACAUUUGCAUCUGCCCCCAUGCAUGACAUCGGACAUCCUGCCGGACCUGCUCUCCACUUGAGCUUACAGCUUUUAUGCUGGUCGGUCAGGGGUCUCCUUGAUUUAGAAGGGGGUUUGGAGCAAUGGGGGGGGGCGAAGGGAAAAUGAAACAAAAGCUUCAUACACACACGUGCACACAUUCACAUGCAUACACACACUACUUUAAGAUACUGUUAACUGUUUUUGUUUCUGUCUUGUCUGUAUAUGUACCCACCAUCACUAUUUUUGUGUUUUUGUUUUGUUUUGUUUUGUUUGUAUGUUAUAUAAAAAAAAAAAAUAAAAAAAAAAGGAGGACCUGCCAUUGAUGGUUAAGUGAUUUCAUUGGGAGUGGGACGGAGUACUUUGUUCACAACCUAAAGCUACCUGUUUAUAUUAAUGUCUUUUUUUAUCCCAUAUUAGGCCUGAACGAUAUAUCGUUUGACUAUCGUCAUCGCGAUGUACGUGUGUGCGAUAGUCACAUCGCAGAGCCUGCGAUAUUGGAGGUGAAUGAACUCAUUUAAUUUCAAGGGUAACCGACUGAGAUACACUCCAUGUGACUCUGCAUGUGCUGUGCAGCGAUCCACCAAUCGCCUUCGUCCUUAACUCAGUUGCCAAUCAGACUCACUUCUCAGCUGCCAAUCAGACUACCCUGCCAGCUGUCAAUCAAAAUCAGGGCGGAGAAAACCCACCCCUGCACAUGUUCUGCACAUGGAGGGAGACGUGUGUCCGCUGAGAAUUACUUUCGGAACUUUACUCAUGACUAUUAAGCCCAACAAAUAAGAACUGUAUGGGUAUUAAAUUGUACAUUUCCGUGGACCACUCUACUAUAAGCAGUGCGCGUUUUGCGAGGUGCAUGCAAUUCUCGGAGGACAUGCGUUUCUCGGUACAGCACCGCUAACAACAACAACAACGAUCGCAAAAUGAACAACGAACAAGCGAAAACCACCGAAAAUGAAGAUUUGUUGCCAAAAAGAAAAGGAAAGUCAGUUAUCUGGAAUUAUUUCGGUUAAAGAAGGAUGAUGUCGACCAAAACACGUCUUCUGUGUUCAUCUGUUGCCACAAUAACGUCCCAGCACAAUAAAAGCUAAAAAAUAUCUCUGAGACAGACAGAAGCCGUUCUACUAACAUUCACAAAAAGAGGUAAAAUCAGAGCAGAUUAACUGUCCUCAAGAUUUCAGCAGUGCAGCAUAACAUUAAGUGCUAUUCAGGUCAUCUGGUGAAA